GGCGACGUCCUAGGGAAGAACUCACUACCUCUUACCGGUAAGGCACCCUUGUCGCCAGUCCAAGAAGCAGAUCUAGGCGGGGAUGGUGAUGGCGUGUUGUGAUGGCGACUCCACCUCCUUGAGCCACCGCCCCCAACUCAUCCCUUCCCGUAGAACUUCUCCAACGGAGAACCGCAAACCAUCGCCACCAGCAGCCUAACCUGGCAGCGACGUCCUAGGGAAGCUCACUACCUCUUACCGGUAAGGCACCCUUGUCGCCAGUCCAAGAAGAUCUAGGCGGGGAUGGCGAUGGCGUGCUGUGAUGGCUGACUCCACCUCCUGAUCGGAAGAACUCGCUAUCGGUAAAGGCUCUGUCACCCACCCAGCAAGCAGAUCUAGGCGGGGAUAGCGAUGGUGGGUUGUGACUCAGUCUUGUUGCUUUGUUCUAGAUCAGGAACUCGCUACCGGUAAAGCACCUUUGUGGCCCACCGAAGAAGCAGAUCUAGGCGGGGAUGGCGAUGGCGUGCUGAGGGUUGAAUCCAGCUCCCAAUCAAGGUAUCGGCUAUUCUUCCUCUAAUCGACUCGGGUCUUAUUGCUUUGAUCUAGAUCAAGAUCAAGGUAUCGGCUAAUAUUCCUCUAAUUGACUCGGUCUUAUUACUUUGUUCUAGAUAAAGAUCAGAAGAACUCGCUACCGGUAAAGCACCUUUGUGGCCCACCCAAGAAUCAGAUCUAGGAUGGCGUGCUGUGAUGGCUGAAUCCACCUCCCGG